UAUACGAGCACACGAUCCAUCUUACAGUUACAGAAUCACCGAGACAGAGAAAAUACAUCAAUAAUUCUCCUCUACAUUUUUUUUUCCUUUCUUUUUCUUCUCUUUUUCUUUCCAUUAAUUUUGUUCCCCACUCCAUCAACUCCACUACCCUAUGCUCCCCACCAUCUCCACUACCUUUGCUCCCCAUCAACUCCAACACUUCACCCAUUCCUUCCAUUUCGCAACAGCAAUCACAAAGAGAAGGAAGACUUGGCUUAACUACUUUGCCAAGAUUUCAAGCUGCUCCAGUCCAGUAGUACCCCAACACUCGAAGCUAGAGUUUAUUGGGUGAAAAACCGUGCAUGAGGUCGAGCGCAAGAAUAAGAGCUCGUCAAGGAGUCACUAAUCUGUAGCAAAGCUUUGCUAUCAGGUUGAGCAGCUGCCGAUGGUGAUGAAGUGACGAGCGGGACUCUUUUGUCUUAUUAUGUAUUAAUGAACUCUAGGGUUACAUGUCUUCAUACAUGUAAUCAGAACCUUAUUCCGCUGCGUACUCAGAAGUUUUAUGUUAUUUUGGAUAAGUCGGAGUUAUCCGAACUUGUUAGUUAUUUGAGUCUAUACGACAAAAAAACUCUGUUAUAUUAUAGAUAUCUAUGUUGUUAACAAUGAUGAAAUACGAUCCUUUCUUGUUUGAUUA